rnacentral:rRNA from 1 species
GAUGAACGCUGGCGGCGUGCCUAAUACAUGCAAGUCGAGCGAACGGACGAGAAGCUUGCUUCUCUGAUGUUAGCGGCGGACGGGUGAGUAACACGUGGAUAACCUACCUAUAAGACUGGGAUAACUUCGGGAAACCGGAGCUAAUACCGGAUAAUAUUUUGAACCGCAUGGUUCAAAAGUGAAAGACGGUCUUGCUGUCACUUAUAGAUGGAUCCGCGCUGCAUUAGCUAGUUGGUAAGGUAACGGCUUACCAAGGCAACGAUGCAUAGCCGACCUGAGAGGGUGAUCGGCCACACUGGAACUGAGACACGGUCCAGACUCCUACGGGAGGCAGCAGUAGGGAAUCUUCCGCAAUGGGCGAAAGCCUGACGGAGCAACGCCGCGUGAGUGAUGAAGGUCCUCGGAUCGUAAAACUCUGUUAUUAGGGAAGAACAUAUGUGUAAGUAACUGUGCACAUCUUGACGGUACCUAAUCAGAAAGCCACGGCUAACUACAUG